rnacentral:rRNA from 1 species
CCUACGGGAGGCAGCAGUGGGGAAUAUUGCGCAAUGCUCGUAAGAGUGACGCAGCGACGCCGCGUGAAUGACGAAGGCCUUCGGGCCGUAAAGUUCUUUCGACAGGGAAGAAAAUGCCUAUAAGUAACUGUGUAUGUAUUGACGGUACCUGUAUAAGCAGCCCCGGCUAACUCCGUGCCAGCAGCCGCGGUAAUACGGAGGGGGCGAGCGUUGUUCGGAGGGACUGGGCGUAAAGAGCACGUAGGCGGUGUUGUAAGUCAUUAGUCAAAGACUAGAGCUCAACUUUAGUAAGGCUAGUGAUACUAUAAUACUAGAGUAUCAGAGAGGAUUGCAGAAUUCCUGGUGUAGCGGUGAAAUGCGUAGAUAUCAGGAGGAAUACCGUUAGCGAAGGCGGCAAUCUGGCUGGAAACUGACGCUGAGGUGCGAAAGCGUGGGUAGCAAACAGGAUUAGAUACCCCAGUAGUC